rnacentral:rRNA from 1 species
CCUACGGGGGGCAGCAGUGGGGAAUAUUGGACAAUGGGGGCAACCCUGAUCCAGCCAUGCCGCGUGUGUGAAGAAGGCCCUCGGGUUGUAAAGCACUUUCAGUGAGUAAGAACGCCUGGUGGUUAAUACCCAUCAGGAAAGACAUCACUCACAGAAGAAGCACCGGCUAACUCCGUGCCAGCAGCCGCGGUAAUACGGAGGGUGCGAGCGUUAAUCGGAAUUACUGGGCGUAAAGCGCGCGUAGGUGGCUUGAUAAGCCGGUUGUGAAAGCCCCGGGCUCAACCUGGGAACGGCAUCCGGAACUGUCAAGCUAGAGUGCAGGAGAGGAAGGUAGAAUUCCCGGUGUAGCGGUGAAAUGCGUAGAGAUCGGGAGGAAUACCAGUGGCGAAGGCGGCCUUCUGGACUGACACUGACACUGAGGUGCGAAAGCGUGGGUAGCAAACAGGAUUAGAUACCCCAGUAGUC